GGUUGAGGUGUUCUUGGACGAUUUGCUUAAGGUUGUCAGUACAUCUUAUAACUAGGUCACUUCCACUGGAUCUUUCUGUUAACAAGCAGCUAGACCCAAGGUAGAGAUCCACCACUGAUGACACAAGUCUGCUACCCUGCUCCUGUGAAGGUCACUGAAGGCCUGCGCCUCCCACCGUGGUAUCCUCUCUCAAC